rnacentral:rRNA from 1 species
UACGUAGGGACCAAGCGUUGUUCGGAUUUACUGGGCGUAAAGGGCGCGUAGGCGGCGCGGUAAGUCACUUGUGAAAUCUCUGAGCUUAACUCAGAACGGCCAAGUGAUACUGCAGUGCUAGAGUGUGGAAGGGGCAAUCGGAAUUCUUGGUGUAGCGGUGAAAUGCGUAGAUAUCAAGAGGAACACCUGAGGUGAAGACGGGUUGCUGGGCCAACACGUGACGCUGAGGCGACGAAAGCCAGGGGAGCAAACGGG